AGCUUGGGGCUGGACCCCAGCCUCCAGCCUCACCUCCUGCCGGCCUCUCUGCUUGCCCUCCCCGCCCCAGAGGGGGGGUGGGAGGCCUUGAGAUUGUCCCCGGUACCCCAAGGACGCCGAGGUUACGGGAAGUUUGGGGACUCGGACUUGGGAUGGAGUGAAUAUCAGACAGCUACAAGGAAGGAUUUAGAAGCAGGCCACUUGGCCACUUGGGAUUUACUAGCCAGCAGACUCCCUGGCUAGUUGAGUGUGUGAGUGUUUGCCUGUAACUGUACCUGUACACAUGCCUACUUGGUGGCCUAGGAGGCCAGAAGAAGGUGGUCAGAUCUCCUGGAACUGGAGUUAUAGGCGGUUGUGGGCCACCAUCUGGGUCCUGGGAUACUGAACCUGUGUCCUCUGCAAGAGCAGCAAGUGUUCUUAACGACUGAGCCAUUUCUUCGGCCCUCUUUCUUCAAUUCUCCAUUGUCCUGCUAGAAGGCAGAAUGACUUCGUCGACAACCUCAUGCAGGAGUGGAACCAAUCUCCUUCCCCGUGGGUGGCUGGGCAUGUAGCUUCCUCUUUCUGUCUUGAGUGUUGCCAAGGAAAAGGGGCUGCAGAUCUCCCCUGGAUUGCAGAGUGGGAGACAAAGCAAGGGCCCCAGAAGAGCUCUCUGGAUGCUCCUGGCUACUGAAUCAACCGCAGAGCGCCCUCUGGGGCUGGGGUCUGACACUGUUACCCCUCCUGGCCUUAUGGACGCAGAUCCAGCUCAGCCUCACAAUGAAUUCAAUGGUUCCUGAAAGCUUGUGCUCGGCCUGCCCACCUUCAUCCACAGGGCAACAUGGGAGCCAGACUUCUCUCUGUGGUAUAAGGCCCCAGUAUCCUGAGUUCUUCCAGGAGAAGGAAGAUGGCGAAGACAGUGAGGGAAGAGAGCAGACGUCUGACUCCGGGGUGCUUAUCUGUGUGGAAGAGACCGGUUCUUCCUGACUGGCUUCAUGUCCCUCAAGAUCCCAAAGAAGGCUAUGGCUAUUUCAAAGCCAGAGAAUAGGGGCAGAGACUCAGCAGCCUGCUCCUGGGUGCAAAGAGACAAGGCCAGGUGCAGCCUGUGCUCACAGUCUUGGAAGCUUGGUGGUGGUGGAGCCCCACUUUCUGUGUGCCUGUGUGUGCAUAUAUCUAUCUGCGCAUGUGUAUGGAGGCCAGAGGACAACCUUGACUGUCGUUCACAAAGUGCCUCUCACAUUUUGUUGUGCUGGAACUUCGCCUAAGAAGUGGGUUAAACUGGCCAGUAAGCCUCAGGAGUGCUUCCGUCUCCACCUUCUCAGUGCUGAGAUUACAAACUGGAGCCUUGUGUCUGGCCUUCAACGUGGAUUCUCAGGAUCCAAGGAUCCAACAUUGGGCUCCCAUGCUAACAAGGUGUUCUCCUGGCUCUUCAAGUAUUUACCCGUCUGUGUGUGACUCAUAUCCAGGAACCCAGGCAGCUUCCCUCAAUAGAUUGCUGGCUUCAGAAGAUGAGCCUCCCCUGCCGCUCCACAAGGCUCAAGUGCUUCAAUGAAAUAAAAGAGAACUGAAAUAAAAGAGAAA
rnacentral:lncRNA from 1 species